rnacentral:rRNA from 1 species
UACAGAGGUCUCAAGCGUUGUUCGGAUUCAUUGGGCGUAAAGGGUGCGUAGGUGGCGCGUUAAGUCAGGUGUGAAAUUUCGGAGCUUAACUCCGAAACUGCAUUUGAUACUGGCGUGCUUGAGGACUGGAGAGGAGACUGGAAUUCAUGGUGUAGCGGUGAAAUGCGCAGAUAUCAGGAGGAAGACCAGUGGCGAAGGCGGGUCUCUGGACAGUUCCUGACGCUGAGGCACGAAGGUCAGGGGAGCAAACGGG